UGUGGGAGCGGGCUUGCUCGCGAAGGCGUCAUGUCAGUCGAUAUUUCUUAAACUGACACACCGCUUUCGCGAGCAAGCCCGCUCCCACA
rnacentral:antisense_RNA from 1 species